UAAAAAAAAAAAAAAAAAGCAAUGUGGUUGGAAUUGGGGGUGGGGAAAGGGUAAAAAUUGAAAAUUAUGAAUAAGAAAUCAUAAUCAUUAAGGGCUGCAAUCUUGGUUGAGGCUAGUUGAUUCUUGCCAAAAUCUGGCUGGCAGCCCUUGUUGGGGAAUUGGAAAUGGACCAUAAUGAAUUCCAUCUACUGUUCCCAACACUUCCCACCUGGCAACGCUAAAAGAACAAGUCAAAAACCAUUGAGCCCACAAAAUCAUUUUCUUUACACAAGUGAUAUCAUUUAGAGUUAUUACCUUAUAUGGAAAAACACAAAGCCUUAUACACGAACAAAUUACAUUUGUGCAACUCAAGAUAAUUUAAUUAAUUUUUUUAUUUUUAAAUUUAUUGUUAAUUAAAAGUUUAACCUUUGAAUUUAUUUAUUACUGAUAAUAUUCAUUACAUGAACAAUGAAAAUUACUAAAAGAGUUAAUUAUAUUUCAUUAUUUUAUUUAUCAAUGAUUAUUUAAUUUAUUAAAAUUUUAAAAUAACAAUAACAAAAUAUUGAAAAUUU
rnacentral:misc_RNA from 1 species